rnacentral:ncRNA from 1 species
AAGCGCUGGAUGAGGUGAGAGUCUCACGUCCAGUGCUGUGAGAGGCUUGGGGUGAAAUUCCCUUUGCCUACUCGAC